GGUCUGGAUUUCUAGGCUACAUAAACGAAAAGACAGUAUCAUCUCGGUAGUUUUUUUUUUUUUUAUAUGUUUGAUGACAGCAUCAACCAUCAUCAAAUGGUGUGUUUUGCUCCAUUUCUCAGUCAACUUUGCUUGUACGAGGAGUUUUUAACAUCUUAUUAUCAAGAGAAUCAAACGGUCGAUAAAGGAUUUUUUUUUUGUUUUCUGGAUACAUACGUAUAACACCCAAAGUAGAGAGAGAAGUAGAAGGUUAGAGAGAGAUGAGAGUGCAUGGGGUCGUGGUUAUUUCUGGAACUGAGAGAACAGCUGGUAGGGUCGAGUCUGCAGCUAUGUUUUGUCUUUUUUAACGUUGGCUUUCCCCUCUUUUUACUCCUCUUAAAAACCCCUCUUCACCCAUAUCCUUCUCUUCAUCAUCUCAUGAUCAUCACCUAACCCCCCUCCCCUUUCUCUCUCUCUCUCUCUCUCUCUCUCAGUCCCCCUUGAACACAGGCGAGACUCUUGGGGGGUAAAGAGAUAAGAGAAUCAGGGAUACACAUACAUAAUUCAUGAGAAAAAAAGCCUCUUUCAAGAUAGUUUUAAUUGAGAUGUCCUGAGCGGAGUAACCAAUUUGAGGGGAAUGUUGUCUGGCUCGAGGACACUUGUUUUUAAUCCAUUUCUUGCAUUACAAUUCAUUUAUGGAUCUGGUUAUUGCUGUAAUGGAUUGAGGCUGUACAAGGUCGUCGGACCAGGCUUCAUUCCCCCUAAUGCUUGCUCCUAUAUGGGACUGCCGACUGCCUAACCAAGUCUAGAUUCUAGAUCACGGGGCUGCAGCAUGGAAAGAUUGGUGUAAUGAUGAAGAGUUUUGACCAAUUUUUGUUCAUCAUCUGUGUAAAAAGUUUCAUCAUUACUCUUUUUUUGUUUUUUCUUUUUCUUUGAUGCUAUGAUGUUUUUGUCAGUCCAAACACUUAUAUUUCUGAUUUAUCAUUAGGCAGAUCUUUCCCAUGACGGCUUCCUGUUCUCUGAUCUGUCUGUUUCUGCUGUUUUCAGAUCCGGCUUUGAACUUUUGGUAAACAUUCUCUCUUCUUUUACCAUCUCUCUAGGGUUUCAAGACCUAGGCUCUUCCCUCAAAAUCAAUCCUUUUUUUAAACGAUGCUUGACCUUGGUAAAGAACCGAAGAUGAGGGAAAAAUAAAGACUUGCCCUUUCUUUAACAGUUUCAAAGUCCCAUGAAAUAGAGUUCCUUGGCAUGAGGGGUUACCAAGUCAAUUCUAAGAUGAUAAAUAUCCUUCACUCUUGUAUAUGCUGAUUAGAUCUGUAUUAUCUCUUAUCUGUUUUGCAUGGUGAAUGAAAUGUAUUAAGCCUUGAAUUUAUUAUGAUGCAGUAAUAAUUUUGAAUAUGCCAGCUAUAUUGUUUAUUCUAUUUUAGUUUCAUUGAAAUGAAUAAUGGAGCUUUCACUGUAAAUACAUGUCUUGAAGAGUUAGCAUAGGAAAAUGACAGCUUUUGUAAGCAAUAGGUUUGCCAAUGGAAGUGGGCACAGACAUGGGUCUGAUUAAACAAUACCCACAUGGCCUGGUUUCGUCAUGACAUCUUAUCUGAAACCCUAAAUUUGAUAAUCAAGAUGUCACUGUUGAGUGUUGAAAUUUUAGUUAAAACACACCCCCCUUAAUUGUUCCAUCUAUCAAAUGCUUUCUUCUUUCAAAUCCUGGGUUUUCAGCAGCUACUAGUCUGCCACUGCUCCCUCAUGGGAUUGAGAUGUGUGCUAAUUUACUUGCAGCAUUUUGUUUUACUUACAACAGGGUUAACUAAAGGAGCUUUGUGCAGUAAAGUACAUGGUCUAAUUAACAAGUAACUAUCAUUUGAAGGAAGGGAGCUUUUACCUAUGUUGGUGCUUCAUCUGUACAUUUUAGGGAAUUAGUGAUCAAAACGAGGUGUAAAGUUUUACUAUUGUUUACAUUUCCCAUCAUACUUUUUCCAUUUUUUGCUCUGGCUUCUUUAUUCAUGGUCCAUGGAAGCUGAGCAACAGAACACAGCAAAGAAACAGUUGAUUAGAAGUUUGGCAGAGAUGAGAUGAGUUUAUCUAGGCCUAUAUCAGGGCCUUAGGUAACACGUAUCCAGUAGCUUGUCACCCCAGCAUUCAUCAUCCACUACAUUCAGUAAUAAUCACAUGACUGUUCACAAGCUCAUUCGAAAGAUUAUCCAUGGAGUACUUCUCUCAAUGCUUUGUGCAGUGAAAGUUAUUUUGUUGUAUUAAAAUCCCGGUUAGCUAGGAAUCUAGGAAACAAAUGUUAGCUUCUUCUUUUUUUAAUAUUACUUGUAUAUGUGCUUUGUACCUUGAGAGUUUUCCUUUCUAUAGUUUGAAUAUAUCUAUCCUUUUUUUUUCCUGAA